CCAAUAGCGUAUAUUAAAGUUGUUGCAGUUAAAAAGCUCGUAGUUGAAUUUCGGGGUUAGUAGGUUGGUCAUGCCUCUGGUAUGUACUGGUCUCACUGAUUCCUCCUUCCUGAUGAACCUUAAUGCCAUUUAUUUGGUGUUUUGGGGAAUUUGGACUGUUACUUUGAAAAAAUUAGAGUGUUUAAAGCAGGCAUUUUGCUUGAAUACAUUAGCAUGGAAUAAUAAAAUAGGACGGCAUGAUUCUAUUUUGUUGGUUUCUAGGAUCACCGUAAUGAUUAA
rnacentral:rRNA from 1 species